AAGUCGUAACAAGGUAACCGUAGGUGAACCUGCGGUUGGAUCAUUAACAAAUAUUAAUUAAAAAGUUGAGGGAAACCUCAAUUUUUUAAACAAACUUGUGAACCUUUUAACCAAAUUUAAUGGGUUAAAACAAUAUUGAAAAGUAUUGGAGCUUUUUUUAACUUAAAAGCUAACCCAUUUAUUAAUAAACUUUAAAGUAAUUUUAGUUGGCCUUUAACAAAAUAAUUUAAUUAAAAAACAACUUUUGACAACGGAUCUCUUGGCUCUC
rnacentral:misc_RNA from 1 species